AUCCAGCUGACAAGUCUCAAAUAGGUCGAAACACACGUUCUGGAU
rfam:Schistosoma curassoni strain Dakar, Senegal genome assembly, scaffold: SCTD_scaffold0006445